GACGAAGGAUGCAAGCGUUAUCCGGAUUCAUUGGGUUUAAAGGGAGCGUAGGUGGCCUUAUAAGUCAGUGGUGAAAUCUCUGGGCUUAACCCAGAAAUUGCCAUUGAUACUUGAUAGGGCUUGAGUACAGUUGCUGUGGGCGGAAUAUGACAGUGUAGUGGUGAAAUACAUAGAGAUGUCAUAGAACACCGAUUGCGAAGGCAGCUCACAAAACUGUAACUGACACUGUGGCUCGAAAGUGCGGGGAUCAAACAGG
rnacentral:rRNA from 1 species